AGUUUGAUCCUGGCUCAGGACGACGCUGGCGGCGUGCUUAACACAUGCAAGUCGAACGGUGACGGAGGAGCUUGCUCCUCCUGAUCAGUGGCGAACGGGUGAGUAACACGUGAGUAACCUGCCCCAGACUCUGGAAUAACAGUUGGAAACAGCUGCUAAUACCGGAUACGAGACGGAGAGGCAUCUCUACCGUAUGGAAAGUUUUUCGGUCUGGGAUGGACUCGCGGCCUAUCAGCUUGUUGGUGAGGUAACGGCUCACCAAGGCGACGACGGGUAGCCGGCCUGAGAGGGCGACCGGCCACACUGGGACUGAGACACGGCCCAGACUCCUACGGGAGGCAGCAGUGGGGAAUCUUGCGCAAUGGGCGAAAGCCUGACGCAGCAACGCCGCGUGCGGGAUGACGGCCUUCGUGGUUGUAAACCGCUUUCAGCAGGGACGAAAAUGACGGUACCUGCAGAAGAAGCCCCGGCUAACUACGUG
rnacentral:rRNA from 1 species